rnacentral:rRNA from 3 species
UACGUAGGUGGCAAGCGUUGUCCGGAAUUAUUGGGCGUAAAGCGCGCGCAGGCGGCUUCUUAAGUCCAUCUUAAAAGUGCGGGGCUUAACCCCGUGAUGGGAUGGAAACUGGGAGGCUGGAGUAUCGGAGAGGAAAGUGGAAUUCCUAGUGUAGCGGUGAAAUGCGUAGAGAUUAGGAAGAACACCGGUGGCGAAGGCGACUUUCUGGACGACAACUGACGCUGAGGCGCGAAAGCGUGGGGAGCAAACAGG